GAUGAACGCUGGCGGCGUGCGUAACACAUGCAAGUCGAACGAGAAAUUCCGGGCUUGCUCGGGAGAGUAAAGUGGCGAACGGGUGAGUAACGCGUGGGUAACCUGCCCCUGAAUCUGGAAUAACUUCGCGAAAGCGAGGCUAAUACCGGGUAUUGUCCCAGGGACCAUGGUCCUUGUGAUGAAAGAUGACCUCUUCACGAAAGUUGUCGUUCAGGGAGGGGCCCGCGUACCAUUAGCCAGUUGGUAGGGUAAUGGCCUACCAAGGCGAUGAUGGUUAGCUGGUCUGAGAGGAUGACCAGCCACACUGGCACUGAAACACGGGCCAGACUCCUACGGGAGGCAGCAGUGAGGAAUUUUGCGCAAUAGGGGAAACCCUGACGCAGCAACGCCGCGUGAGUGAAGAAGGCCCUCGGGUCGUAAAGCUCUGUCAAGUGGGAAAAAAGCUUACUGGUGAAUAGCCAGGAAGACUGAUGGUACCAUUGAAGGAAGCACCGGCUAACUCCGUGCCAGCCGCCGCGGUAA
rnacentral:rRNA from 1 species